UGGAUGGACCCGCGGCGUAUUAGCUAGUUGGUGAGGUAAAGGCUCACCAAGGCAGUGAUACGUAGCCGACCUGAGAGGGUAAUCGGCCACAUUGGGACUGAGACACGGCCCAGACUCCUACGGGAGGCAGCAGUAGGGAAUCUUCCACAAUGGACGCAAGUCUGAUGGAGCAACGCCGCGUGAGUGAAGAAGGGUUUCGGCUCGUAAAGCUCUGUUGUUAAAGAAGAACGUGGGUAAGAGUAACUGUUUACCCAGUGACGGUAUUUAACCAGAAAGCCACGGCUAACUACGUGCCAGCAGCCGCGGUAAUACGUAGGUGGCAAGCGUUAUCCGGAUUUAUUGGGCGUAAAGCGAGCGCAGGCGGUCUUUUAAGUCUAAUGUGAAAGCCUUCGGCUCAACCGAAGAAGUGCAUUGGAAACUGGGAGACUUGAGUGCAGAAGAGGACAGUGGAACUCCAUGUGUAGCGGUGAAAUGCGUAGAUAUAUGGAAGAACACCAGUGGCGAAGGCGGCUGUCUGGUCUGCAACUGACGCUGAGGCUCGAAAGCAUGGGUAGCGAACAGGAUUAGAUACCCUGGUAG
rnacentral:rRNA from 1 species